rnacentral:rRNA from 1 species
GACAGAGGGUGCAAGCGUUGUUCGGAAUUACUGGGCGUAAAGCGCGUGUAGGCGGCUUGGCAAGUCGGGUGUGAAAGCCCUGGGCUCAACCUAGGAAGUGCACUCGAAACUGCUUCGCUUGAGUGUCGGAGAGGAAAGCGGAAUUCUCGGUGUAGAGGUGAAAUUCGUAGAUAUCGAGAGGAACACCGGUGGCGAAGGCGGCUUUCUGGACGAUGACUGACGCUGAGACGCGAAAGCGUGGGGAGCAAACAGG